AAAUGUAUGUGGGAGAGGUGGAAGCGAUAUAAAAUGUAUGUGGGAGAGGUGGAAGCGAUAUAAAAUGUAUGUGGGAGAGGCAGAAGCGAUAUAAAAUGUAUGUGGGAGAGGCAGAAGCGAUAUAAAACUUGUGUGAGAGGUGGAAGCGAUAUAAAAUGUAUGUGGGAGAGGUGGAAGCGAUAUAAAAUGUAUGUGGGAGAGGUGGAAGCGAUAUAAAAUGUAUGUGGGAGAGGCAGAAGCGAUAUAAAACUUGUGUGAGAGGUGGAAGCGAUAUAAAAUGUAUGUGGGAGAGGUGGAAGCGAUAUAAAAUGUAUGUGGGAGAGGUGGAAGCGAUAUAAAAUGUAUGUGGGAGAGGUGGAAGCGAUAUAAAAUGUAUGUGGGAGAGGCGGAAGCGAUAUAAAACUUGUGUGAGAGGUGGAAGCGAUAUAAAAUGUAUGUGGGAGAGGUGGAAGCGAUAUAAAAUGUAUGUGGGAGAGGUGGAAGCGAUAUAAAAUGUAUGUGGGAGAGGUGGAAGCGAUAUAAAAUGUAUGUGGGAGAGGCGGAAGCGAUAUAAAACUUGUGUGAGAGGUGGAAGCGAUAUAAAAUGUAUGUGGGAGAGGUGGAAGCGAUAUAAAAUGUAUGUGGGAGAGGUGGAAGCGAUAUAAAAUGUAUGUGGGAGAGGCAGAAGCGAUAUAAAACUUGUGUGAGAGGUGGAAGCAAUAUAAAAUGUAUGUGGGAGAGGUGGAAGCGAUAUAAAAUGUAUGUGGGAGAGGUGGAAGCGAUAUAAAAUGUAUGUGGGAGAGGUGGAAGCGAUAUAAAAUGUAUGUGGGAGAGGUGGAAGCGAUAUAAAAUGUAUGUGGGAGAGGUGGAAGCGAUAUAAAAUGUAUGUGGGAGAGGUGGAAGCGAUAUAAAAUGUAUGUGGGAGAGGUGGAAGCGAUAUAAAAUGUAUGUGGGAGAGGUGGAAGCGAUAUAAAAUGUAUGUGGGAGAGGUGGAAGCGAUAUAAAAUGUAUGUGGGAGAGGCGGAAGCGAUAUAAAACUUGUGUGAGAGGUGGAAGCGAUAUAAAAUGUAUGUGGGAGAGGUGGAAGCGAUAUAAAAUGUAUGUGGGAGAGGUGGAAGCGAUAUAAAACUUGUGUGAGAGGUGGAAGCGAUAUAAAAUGUAUGUGGGAGAGG